GAGUAACACGUGGGCAACCUGUCCUUGAGUCCGGGAUACCCUCUCGAAAGGGAGGCUAAUACUGGAUACGUUCCUCGGGUCGCAAGGCCUGGGGAGGAAAGGUGGCGAAAGCUGCCGCUCUUGGAGGGGCUCGCGGCCUAUCAGCUAGUUGGUGAGGUAACGGCUCACCAAGGCUAUGACGGGUAGCUGGUCUGAGAGGACGACCAGCCACACGGGAACUGAGACACGGUCCCGACUCCUACGGGAGGCAGCAGUGGGGAAUUUUCCGCAAUGGGCGAAAGCCUGACGGAGUGACGCCGCGUGGGGGACGAAGGCCUUCGGGUUGUAAACCCCUGUCAGAGGGAAAGAAGGGCGUCGGCGUUAAUAGCGCCGGCGUCUGACGGUACCUUCAGAGGAAGCCCCGGCCAACUCUGUGCCAGCAGCCGCGGUAAGACAGAGGG
rnacentral:rRNA from 1 species